GUGGAACAGCUCUGACCUGUAUGGUGAUUAGACCCAGAGAGGAGACACACCUGGUUCAACCAGGUGAUGGACGGUUGAAAGGACGAAUAACCAGACGAAGAAGACGAGACAAACAAUGGAGACGAGCCGCCACAGGAGCCUGAAGGGAAAGCUUCAGGUGGAACAGCUCUGACCUGUACGGUGAUCAGACCUGGAGAGGAGACACACCUGGUCCAACAAGGUGACGGACGGUUGAAUUGACGAAUCACCAGACGAACGAGACGAGUCAAACAAUGGAGACGAGCCGCCACAGGAGCCUGAAGGGAAAGUGACAGGAAGGCUCUGCAGCGGGUGAUCCGUCCAUCACAGAGUAUCAGUGAACCAGAAGGAACCGCUGACGAAGCUUCUGCUGAAGCUGUUGACCAAGCAAACGUGAACCAGGGCCGGCUUGACCGCAGUCCUUCAAAGGUGAAUCGUACAACAACGAAGAGCUCUUUUCCAUGCAGUGUUGGGAGGGUUACUUUAAAAAUGUAUUCUGAUACAGUUACUAAUUACCAGUUAUGAAAUGUAUACAGUAAUGUAAUCCACGUGAAAAUAUAACUCGAUUGUUUUCUGUUACUUUCGGAUUACUUCAGUACCAAACAUGCAAAUAAAGACUCAAUAAAAUGACUUUAUUCAGUCUUAAUAUUGAGUGUGUGUUCAUACAGACUAGUAUAUCAUACUUUAUUUUAAAACUCUCCACAAGUUUGAGAGAACAUUAAAAAAGAAACUGAGAAUAUAAAGAGUUCAUUAAAACUAAAAAUAAUUCUUCAUGACUGUACAAGAUGUAGCCCAUCUUUUGUAACUACUCUCUUCGGAGGGAAAGAUGUUUAUUGAUUUAUUGCAUUUUGGUAUAACAUAAAAAUAAAGUGUGCAGUAUGGGUCUA